GCCUGGGUGGCUCAGUCAGUUAAGCAUCUGACUUCAGCUCAGGUCAUGAUCUCGCGGUUUGUGGGUUCAAGCCCCGUGUCAGGCU
rnacentral:tRNA from 1 species